GAUGAACGCUGGCGGCGUGCCUAAUACAUGCAAGUCGAGCGAACAGACGAGGAGCUUUCUCCUCUGACGUUAGCGGCGGACGGGUGAGUAACACGUGGAUAACCUACCUAUAAGACUGGGAUAACUUCGGGAAACCGGAGCUAAUACCGGAUAAUAUAUUGAACCGCAUGGUUCAAUAGUGAAAGACGGUUUUGCUGUCACUUAUAGAUGGAUCCGCGCCGCAUUAGCUAGUUGGUAAGGUAACGGCUUACCAAGGCAACGAUGCGUAGCCGACCUGAGAGGGUGAUCGGCCACACUGGAACUGAGACACGGUCAAGACUCCUACGGGAGGCAGCAGUAGGGAAUCUUCCGCAAUGGGCGAAAGCCUGACGGAGCAACGCCGCGUGAGUGAUGAAGGUCUUCGGAUCGUAAAACUGUGUUAUUAGGGAAGAACAAAUGUGUAAGUAACUAUGCACGUCUUGACGGUACCUAAUCAGAAAGCCACGGCUAACUACGUG
rnacentral:rRNA from 1 species